rnacentral:rRNA from 1 species
UACGUAGGGGGCAAGCGUUGUCCGGAAUCAUUGGGCGUAAAGCGCGUGUAGGCGGCUCGAUAAGUCUGCUGUGAAAGUCCAGGGCUCAACCCUGGAAUGCCGGUGGAUACUGUCGAGCUCGAGUCCGGAAGAAGCGAGUGGAAUUCCUGGUGUAGCGGUGAAAUGCGCAGAUAUCAGGGGGAACACCGAUGGCGAAGGCAGCUCGCUGGGACGUGACUGACGCUGAGACGCGAAAGCGUGGGGAGCGAACAGG